GACGAACGCUGGCGGCGUGCUUAACACAUGCAAGUCGAACGGGCCUUGUCCCCUUUUUUUUUGGGGGUGGGGUUAGUGGCGAACGGGUGAGUAACACGUGAGUAACCUGCCCCUCACUUCUGGAUAACCGCUUGAAAGGGUGGCUAAUACGGGGUGUUCUGGCCUGCUCGCAUGGGUGGGUUUGGAAAGAUUCGACCGGUUUUGGUUGUUUUGGUGGGGGAUGGGCUCGCGGCCUAUCAGCUUGUUGGUGGGGUGAUGGCCUGCCAAGGCUUUGAUGGGUAGCCGGCCUGAGAGGGUGGGCGGUCACACUGGGACUGAGACACGGCCCAGACUCCUACGGGAGGCAGCAGUGGGGAAUAUUGCACAAUGGGCGCAAGCCUGAUGCAGCGACGCCGCGUGAGGGAUGGAGGCCUUCGGGUUGUGAACCUCUUUCGCCAGUGAAGAAGGUCCUGCUCUUUGUGGUGGGGUUGACGGUAGCUGGGUUAAUGAAGCGCCGGCUAACUACGUG
rnacentral:rRNA from 1 species